AGGAUAAACGCUGGCGGCGUGCCUAAUACAUGCAAGUCGAGCGGCAGCGCGGUCUUCGGACUGGCGGCGAGCGGCGGACGGCUGAGUAACACGUAGGAACGUACCCCAAAGUGAGGGAUAAGCACCAGAAAUGGUGUCUAAUACCGCAUGUGCUCUAAGGAGUAAAGCUUCGGCGCUUUGGGAACGGCCUACGCAUGAUUAGCUUGUUGGUGAGGUAAUGGCUCACCAAGGCGACGAUCAUUAGCUGGUCUGAGAGGAUGAUCAGCCAGACUGGGACUGAGAACGGCCCAGACUCCUACGGGAGGCAGCAGUAGGGAAUUUUCCACAAUGGGCGAAAGCCUGAUGGAGCAACGCCGCGUGCAGGAUGAAGGCCUUAGGUUGUAAACUGCUUUAUGUGUGACGAAUAUGACGGUAGCAUAUGAAUAAGGAUCGGCUAACUCCGUGCCAGCAGCGC
rnacentral:rRNA from 1 species